GUACAGACCUUCUAAAAUUCAAACUGACCACACGCACGAUACACGCACGGUGAAUGCACGAUACACGCACGGUACACGCACGAUACACGAUACACGCACGAUGAGCGAUGAGCGUUACACGAAGGAUUAACGCAAAAUGAAUGAUGAAUGAUGAACGCACGAUACACGCACGAUGCACGAUGAAUGAUAAAUACACGAUACACGCACGUCACAUGC
rnacentral:lncRNA from 1 species